GACGAACGCUGGCGGCGUGCCUAAUACAUGCAAGUAGGACGAAGUUGCGAACGGGUGAGUAACGCGUAGGUAACUACCUAUUAGAGGGGGAUAACUAUUGGAAACGAUAGCUAAUACCGCAUACUAGUAGAUGGACCUGCGUUGUAUUAGCUAGUAGGUAGGGUAAUGGCCUACCUAGGCAACGAUACAUAGCCGACCCGUGCGGGUUGUCGGCCACCCUGGGACCGGGGAACGGCCCAGACUCCUACGGGAGGCAGCAGUAGGGGAUCUUCGGCAAUGGGGGGAACCCUGACCGAGCAACGCCGCGUGGUUGAAGAAGGGUCUCGGAUCGGAAAGCUCUGUUGUUAAGGAAGCGGUACUUAACCAGAAAGGGACGGCUAACUACGUGCCAGCAGCCGCGGUAAUAC
rnacentral:rRNA from 1 species